CCUACGGGAGGCAGCAGUAGGGAAUAUUGCUCAAUGGCGGAAACCCUGAAGCAGCAACGCCGCGUGGAGGAUGACGGUUUUCCGAUUGGAAACUCCUUUUGUUAGAGAAGAUAAUAACGGUAUCUAACGCAUAAGCACCGGAUAACUCCGUGCCAACAGCCGCGGUAAUACGGCGGGUGCAAGCGUUACUCGGAAUCACUGGGCGUAAAGAGCGCGUAGGCGGGAUAGCAAGUCAGAUGUGAAAUCCUAUGGCUUAACCAUAGAACUGCAUUUGAAACUGUUAUUCUAGAGUAUGGGAGAGGUACGUGGAAUUCGUGGUGUAGGGGUAAAAUCCGUAGAGAUCAAGCAGAAUACUGAUUGCGAAGGCGACCUGCUAGAACAUAACUGACGCUGAUGCGCGAAAGCGUGGGGAGCAAACAGGAUUAGAUACCCUAGUAGUC
rnacentral:rRNA from 1 species